AACGUAGGAGACGAACGUUAUCCGGAGUUACUGGGCGUAAAGGGCGUGUAGGCGGUUUGUUAAGUCAGGGGUGAAAUCCUGGAGCUCAACUCCAGAACUGCCUUUGAUACUGGGGAUCUCGAGUCCGGGAGAGGUGAGUGGAACUGCGAGUGUAGAGGUGAAAUUCGUAGAUAUUCGCAAGAACACCAGUGGCGAAGGCGGCUCACUGGCCCGGUACUGACGCUGAGGUGCGAAAGCGUGGGGAGCAAACAGG
rnacentral:rRNA from 1 species